rnacentral:lncRNA from 1 species
GUGAGGUAUCCGUGGUCGACGAGUCACGACGGGUCAUCGUUCAGGCGGUCCAUGAACUCUAUGAUCGGGAGGUCACCACACCGUGGCAAGACACAGAAACAAGAACUUGUACCAUCGUCUUUAUAGGUCGCAACUUGGAUGAGGACGCUUUGAAGAAAGCCUUUAACAAUCUACUAGAAGGGCAGGACGAGACUAUGGCUCACUGACAUCCACGCUUCACCAUUGGUCAUUAGUUACCCUCAACGUCGCUUCUUUUAAUGUCAUCUACAAGACAAUUCUUAGAUCAGUGCUACAAAUAGCAAUUAUUGUUCCCUCGAAUACGAUAUUGACAAAAGUUAUGGGCGAAAAAUGAACAGACGCAUAUUUCUGUGGCAGCGGUGGGCUCUUUCAUAAACCUACAGGUCACUUUAGGACAACGAGAUUCUGAAUUGCCUUAUUGUUAACCUACAUUUGUUUCAUUCAGCUUUAAAGUUUGAAUAUUUUUCAAAUACCCUCAUCUAAAAUGUGGCAAACGAAUGAUUCGCAUUCAGAAAUUUUGUGUUAAUAGUGAUAUUAUAUUCCAACUCUUUGCUUUUGCGAUUCAAUAUAAAUAAAGGCCUUCGUGGACCUUCUAUAUUCCAGUCUUUCGUAAAGUUAUGUGUAAAUUUACAAACGAUGUCCUGAAUCCUUGUUAUGGGUACUAACUCGGUUAUUUCAAAUUAUCAACCGUGUUUGAGUGACUGUCGCCCCAGAUAAUGUCGUUGCAUAACUUGUGAAGGAGGUAUGGAUUCAUGUAACCCAGGAAUUAAAGAAGGAACAUUGUCCUCAGAGUUUAUGUGGAUCGGAGCAAUGGUUGGAGAUGCAGGAUUAGAAGUUUGAUAAAUUAUUUCAUUCAAAAGUCAACAAAGUGCGCCUGAUUCGCUUUCCAUUUAUUUUAUGCCCUUCGUUCAUUGUCGUUCGCACAACAAUCGUGACUUUCUUUGGCCAUUACCCCUGUUUCACAAAACUUAUCAGUAAGUUUAUAUCUUCCCCAUACAUACAUUAGUUGUUCAUGGUCAAUCAAAUUUUGGUGAAUUAUAACAAUUUCUUGUAAGGUGUCACUGCACCAUGUUUUGUGAAGCAGGGUCCGUGAUGCAGAAUAGACAAAGUGUAACCAGGCAAGUCCCACUUCCCUAGUAUAUAACCUACUUUAACUUGCAAUUUGCAUACCUAAUACUAUGAAUUUCACAAUCGAUAAUCUCCCAUCAUCUGAUCAUGUUCAAAUACCAAGCAAUAUGCAUUGAAAUUAGGGGUAGGAAAUGACAGUUUAAAUCAAAAUACGACAAGAAAAAAUGUAUUUCUUUCUUAAUUAUGUUCUAAAAUUCACCCUUUUUUCAUUUUCUUUGACAAUGAAUGUUAUACAUGCUAUGCAAGAAAGAUGAAACCUUGCCGCAUCCCACAGAAAUGUAGACUGAAUUCAUAUCAAGUCUAUACUUACAUCUGUUAUUGUCUUAAAAGAAAAAUACUCAAGAGGUUUUGAUUGGAAGCAACAUGAUCAAGUAUCUCAUGGAAAAUGAUAUUUUUCCAUCACCCGCCGGGUGUACUUUGAACGCUUCGACUUAUUUUCAGGACUAAACACCAUAAAUAAAUAUUUAUUCAUGUCAAUUCAGCACAAUCUUCUCCAUCAUUGUAUCUUAUGAAACAAACCAUUUGGAUAAAAUAACAAUUACUCAUUGAGUUGAGCUAUGGACCAUUAGAAGGGCAAUGACCCGAUAGGUCACACACCAAAGCUGUAAUAGCCCCAUGGGCAUAUUCGUUUAUUAUUAACUCAAAUUAGUGUGUUCAUUAUGUCAAAUUACUGAAGGUAAGCGAGGGAGGGUGAUUAAAUAAUUGAUGUCUACAAUUAUUUUGAAUAUUUUCACACUUGUGUUCAUCGACAUGAACCCCUGAUUACUUUAAUAUUUUAUUCUGGAGCAUUGUUGAGAACAGUGCGACAGAUUCAGUCAUUAUUUUACCCCUUCAUGGCCUUCCUUCCCCUUUAGACCAAACUAACCAAGCGAACCCUAGCCAUUACAAUGAUAACCAUGUUUAUACCCUUAUCCAUAACUAAAAUAGGAAUAGUGCGUCCAUUCUAUUUGUCAUACAUGUAAUAUAUAUAUAUUAAUGUGUUACAUAUGCGUGAUUAUUUCUGAUGAAUAAAGACUUUUA